rnacentral:rRNA from 1 species
AUACGUAGGGUGCGAGCGUUGUCCGGAAUUACUGGGCGUAAAGAGCUCGUAGGUGGUUUGUCGCGUCGUCUGUGAAAUUCCGGGGCUUAACUCCGGGCGUGCAGGCGAUACGGGCAUAACUUGAGUACUGUAGGGGAGACUGGAAUUCCUGGUGUAGCGGUGAAAUGCGCAGAUAUCAGGAGGAGCACCGGUGGCGAAGGCGGGUCUCUGGGCAGUAACUGACGCUGAGGAGCGAAAGCAUGGGUAGCGAACAGGAUUAGAUACCCUGGUAGUCCAUGCCGUAAACGGUGGGCGCUAGGUGUAGGGGUCUUCCACGACUUCUGUGCCGUAGCUAACGCAUUAAGCGCCCCGCCUGGGGAGUACGGCCGCAAGGCUAAAACUCAAAUGAAUUGACGGGG